rnacentral:sRNA from 1 species
GUGCUUCAGCUCCUGGGAAAGAUCCUGGGAGGGAGGUGGCACUGGCUCCCAACCUGUCCUAUAAAUGAGGAGACUCUCCUUGUCCAGGCACAGGCAGAUAUGGGGUCUGUGAAUCAGCACCUGGCUCUUUAAACCUAGAAAGCUUUCAAAAUCAGGCAACCUGGGACUAACUCAGGCCUCAGACUCCGCAUCUCCUGGGCGUGGAGUCGGGAAUCUGGGUGGAAGCUCCAGCUGGAGCCUCGGGGCAGUAACACUGCCAGGCUGGCGGAGCUCGUGCCCUUCAUCACCGUGAACGCCCAGUGGGGCAUCCUCAGCAAGUGCCUGACCUACAGCAAGGCGGCGGCCGACCCGUUCACGUACUCUCUGCUCCGCCGGCCGUUCCGCCAAGUCCUGGCCGGCAUGGUGCACCGGCUGCUGAAGAGAACCCCGCGCCCAGCAUCCACCCAUGACAGCUCUCUGGAUGUGGCCGGCGUGGUGCACCAGCUGCUGAAGAGAACCCCGCGCCCAGCGUCCACCCACAACGGCUCUGUGGACACAGAGAAUGAUUCUUGCUUGCAGCAGACACACUGAGGGCCUGGCAGGGCUCAUCGCCCCCACCUUCUAAGAAGCCCUGUGGAAAGGGCACUGGCCCUGCCACAGAGAUGCCACUGGGGACCCCCAGACACCAGUGGCUUGACUUUGAGCUGAGGCUGAAGUACAGGAGGAGGAGGAGGAGAGGGCCGGAUGUGGGUGUGGACAGCAGGAGUGGCGGAGGAGAGCUCCGGGCUCGGCUGCCUGGCCGCUGGGUGGCCCCGGGACAGUGGCUUUUCCUCUCUGAACCUUAGCUUCCUCACCCUUGUUCUGGGGUAAUGGCGAUGCUUCGAGACAGUGGGUAGGGAAGUGCCCUGUGUGGCAUCUGGUACUCGUGGGCGUGCUGUAAGUGACUGCUGUUCAUGUGGGUGAGGUGGUCACUCUUGC